rnacentral:rRNA from 1 species
CCUUUUGUAUAAUGGGUCAGCGACUUAUAUUCUGUAGCAAGGUUAACCGAAUAGGGGAGCCGAAGGGAAACCGAGUCUUAACUGGGCGUUAAGUUGCAGGGUAUAGACCCGAAACCCGGUGAUCUAGCCAUGGGCAGGUUGAAGGUUGGGUAACACUAACUGGAGGACCGAACCGACUAAUGUUGAAAAAUUAGCGGAUGACUUGUGGCUGGGGGUGAAAGGCCAAUCAAACCGGGAGAUAGCUGGUUCUCCCCGAAAGCUAUUUAGGUAGCGCCUCGUGAAUUCAUCUCCGGGGGUAGAGCACUGUUUCGGCAAGGGGGUCAUCCCGACUUACCAACCCGAUGCAAACUGCGAAUACCGGAGAAUGUUAUCACGGGAGACACACGGCGGGUGCUAACGUCCGUCGUGAAGAGGGAAACAACCCAGACCGCCAGCUAAGGUCCCAAAGUCAUGGUUAAGUGGGAAACGAUGUGGGAAGGCCCAGACAGCCAGGAUGUUGGCUUAGAAGCAGCCAUCAUUUAAAGAAAGCGUAAUAGCUCACUGGUCGAGUCGGCCUGCGCGGAAGAUGUAACGGGGCUAAACCAUGCACCGAAGCUGCGGCAGCGACGCUUAUGCGUUGUUGGGUAGGGGAGCGUUCUGUAAGCCUGCGAAGGUGUGCUGUGAGG